AUUGAACGCUGGCGGCAUGCCUUACACAUGCAAGUCGAACGGUAACAGGUCUUCGGAUGCUGACGAGUGGCGAACGGGUGAGUAAUGCAUCGGAACGUGCCCAGUAGUGGGGGAUAGCCCGGCGAAAGCCGGAUUAAUACCGCAUACGACCUGAGGGUGAAAGGGGGGGAUCGCAAGACCUCUCGCUAUUGGAGCGGCCGAUGUCAGAUUAGCUAGUUGGUGGGGUAAAGGCCUACCAAGGCAACGAUCUGUAGUUGGUCUGAGAGGACGACCAGCCACACUGGGACUGAGACACGGCCCAGACUCCUACGGGAGGCAGCAGUGGGGAAUUUUGGACAAUGGGCGCAAGCCUGAUCCAGCAAUGCCGCGUGCAGGAAGAAGGCCUUCGGGUUGUAAACUGCUUUUGUCAGGGAAGAAAUCUUCUGGGUUAAUACCUCGGGAGGAUGACGGUACCUGAAGAGUAAGCACCGGCUAACUACGUGCCAGCCGCCGCCGUAA
rnacentral:rRNA from 1 species